rnacentral:rRNA from 1 species
UACGUAGGGUGCAAGCGUUGUUCGGAAUCAUUGGGCGUAAAGCGCGUGUAGGUGGCUAGUUAAGUUGGAUGUGAAAUCCCUGGGCUCAACCGAGGAAGUGCAUUCAAAACUGGCUGGCUAGAAGAUGGUAAAGGAAGGUGGAAUUCCAAGUGUAGAGGUGAAAUUCGUAGAUAUUUGGAGGAAUACCGGCGGCGAAGGCGGCCUUCUGGGCCAUUCUUGACACUGAGACGCGAAAGCGUGGGGAGCAAACAGG